GACUGGGUUCUCACUCUAAGCCAGUACCAGUAAUUUGAAAAAACGAUAGACAUCUAGCGCAUUCACUCGUUUUUUCUUUCUGAUAGGCCAACUCAAAGAGGAUUAUCCAGGAACUGGAAGAUGGUUGGCGUGACACGCCUAAAUCCCCCACAAUCAAUCCACAAGGCUUCAGGCGAGUUGAGUGGCGCUUGUUGAAUACCUCUCUACGGCCUGUUCCAGGGAAUGCUCUAGUCUAUUUCUAACUAGUGGUGGAAAGAGCGCCCCCGGCUACGUGUCCUUUGGACCCUUCGCCCGCCCG
rnacentral:lncRNA from 1 species